rnacentral:rRNA from 1 species
AACGAACGCUGGCGGCAUGCCUAACACAUGCAAGUCGAACGAAGCCUUCGGGCUUAGUGGCGCACGGGUGCGUAACGCGUGGGAAUCUGCCCCUUGCUUCGGAAUAACAGUUAGAAAUGACUGCUAAUACCGGAUGAAGUCUUCGGACCAAAGAUUUAUCGGCAAGGGAUGAGCCCGCGUAGGAUUAGGUAGUUGGUGGGGUAAAGGCCUACCAAGCCGACGAUCCUUAGCUGGUCUGAGAGGAUGAUCAGCCACACUGGGACUGAGACACGGCCCAGACUCCUCCGGGGGGCAGCAGUGGGGAAUAUGGGACAGGGGGCGGAAGUCUGAUCCACUCAUGCCGGGGGAGUGAAGAAGGCCUUAGGGGAGUAAAGCUCUUUUAACAGGGAUGAAAAGGACGGUCCCGGGAGAAAAAGCACCGGAUAACACCGG